rnacentral:lncRNA from 1 species
UUUUACUCUUUAAAUGUUUCCCCCAAUAUAUUUUCUUUUUUUUAAUCCUAGGAAACUAAUAUAAACAAGAUACCAGAAAGUCCAAACAGUAACCAAUAUGAAAAGAAGCCUGAAGAGAUUGUAAGAUUAUAUUUCCCAGUCAGAGGCAGUAAAGCUGAAACUACACCAGUUGAGUUUCUGGAAAGUGAUAAGAAAGAGCCAACUAUACCCAUUGUGAAACUUCAGGACCCUGAUGAUUUAAUUGAUGUUGCUCCGAGAACUGAUGAAUCAACACCUCCACCCACAGAUAUUCCACUGUCCAUUAUUCCCACCCUGACAGUGACAGAAGCAGAGGAAGCACCAUGUAUAGAUGAACAGCAAUCAAAAGCUGUGCCAGAGGACAAAUUGAAAAACACACUGUUGCCACCAGUAGUAAGACUGAGAAAUACACAUGCAGGCAUUUUAAAAAGAGAAUCAUCUUCAUCAAAGGUAAAGUUGACAAAUAUGCAUGUAAAUCCAGAGGAAGUAAGGAGGGUUACAGGUGCAUCUCCAGCUGAAAUUAGGUGGCAAAGCAACUAUUUAAACUUAGCUGAGAGAAAAAGUACAAGCUUUCUUUCCCCAGAUUUAAAAUCAAAA